CUUGGUGGCUAGAGCGGAGUGGAACCACCCGUUCCCAUCCCGAACACGGAAGUGAAACGCUCCAGCGCCGACGAUACUUGCGGGGCGACCCGCCGGGAAAAUAGGCCGCCGCCAGGG
rnacentral:rRNA from 1 species